rnacentral:rRNA from 1 species
CAGGCUAGAGUCUUGUAGAGGGGGGUAGAAUUCCAGGUGUAGCGGUGAAAUGCGUAGAGAUCUGGAGGAAUACCGGUGGCGAAGGCGGCCCCCUGGACAAAGACUGACGCUCAGGUGCGAAAGCGUGGGGAGCAAACAGGAUUAGAUACCCUGGUAGUCCACGCCGUAAACGAUGUCGACUUGGAGGUUGUGCCCUUGAGGCGUGGCUUCCGGAGCUAACGCGUUAAGUCGACCGCCUGGGGAGUACGGCCGCAAGGUUAAAACUCAAAUGAAUUGACGGGGGCCCGCACAAGCGGUGGAGCAUGUGGUUUAAUUCGAUGCAACGUGAAGAACCUUACCUACUCUUGACAUC